rnacentral:rRNA from 1 species
AACGAACGCUGGCGGCGCGCCUAAUACAUGCAAGUCGAGCGAGAAGACGUAGCAAUACGUUUGUAAAGCGGCGAACGGGUGAGGAAUGCAUGGGUAACCUACCCUCGAGUGGGGAAUAACUAGCCGAAAGGUUAGCUAAUACCGCGUACGCUCCUUGGACUUCGGUUCAGGGAGGAAAGCGAUACCGUGGGUAUCGCGCUCUUGGAUGGGCUCAUGUCCUAUCAGCUUGUUGGUGAGGUAACGGCUCACCAAGGCUUCGACGGGUAGCUGGUCUGAGAGGACGAUCAGCCACACUGGCACUGCGACACGGGCCAGACUCCUACGGGAGGCAGCAGUAAGGAAUAUUGCGCAAUGGGCGAAAGCCUGACGCAGCGACGCCGCGUGGGGGAUGAAGGUCUUCGGAUUGUAAACCCCUUUCGGGAGGGAAGAUGGAACGAGCAAUCGUUCGGACGGUACCUCCAGAAGCAGCC